AGAGUUUGAUCCUGGCUCAGAUUGAACGCUGGCGGCAUGCCUAACACAUGCAAGAAAAAAGGAAGCGCGGGGGCAACCCUGGCGGCGAGUGGCGGACGGGUGAGGAAUACAUAGGAAUCUACCCUGUCGUGGGGGAUAACGUAGGGAAACUUACGCUGAUACCGCAUACGACCGAGAGGUGAAAGCGGCGGACCGCAAGGCGUCGCGCGGCUGGAUGAGCCUAUGUCCGAUUAGCUAGUUGGCGGGGUAAGAGCCCACCAAGGCGACGAUCGGUAGCUGGUCUGAGAGGAUGAUCAGCCACACUGGGACUGAGACACGGCCCAGACUCCUACGGGAGGCAGCAGUGGGGAAUAUUGGACAAUGGGCGCAAGCCUGAUCCAGCAGUGCCGCGUGUGUGAAGAAGGCCUUCGGGUUGUAAAGCACUUUUGUUGGGGAAGAAAAGCACUGGGUUAAUACCCUGGUGUCCUGACGGUACCCAAAGAAUAAGCACCGGCUAACUUCGUGCCAGCAGCCGCGGUAAUACGAAGGGUGCAAGCGUUAAUCGGAAUUACUGGGCGUAAAGCGUGCGUAGGCGGUGAGUUAAGUCUGUCGUGAAAGCCCUGGGCUCAACCUGGGAAUGCCGAUGGAAACUGGCUCGCUAGAGUGUGAUAGAGGAUGGCGGAAUUCCCGGUGUAGCGGUGAAAUGCGUAGAGAUCGGGAGGAACAUCCGUGGCGAAGGCGGCCAUCUGGAUCAACACUGACGCUGAGGCACGAAAGCGUGGGGAGCAAACAGGAUUAGAUACCCUGGUAGUCCACGCCCUAAACGAUGCGAACUGGAUGUUGGGCUCAACUCGGAGCUCAGUGUCGAAGCUAACGCGUUAAGUUCGCCGCCUGGGGAGUACGGUCGCAAGACUGAAACUCAAAGGAAUUGACGGGGGCCCGCACAAGCGGUGGAGUAUGUGGUUUAAUUCGAUGCAACGCGAAGAACCUUACCUGGCCUUGACAUGUCCGGAAUCCUGCAGAGAUGCGGGAGUGCCUUCGGGAAUCGGAACACAGGUGCUGCAUGGCUGUCGUCAGC
rnacentral:rRNA from 1 species